rnacentral:rRNA from 1 species
UACGUAGGGUGCAAGCGUUGUCCGGAAUUAUUGGGCGUAAAGAGCUCGUAGGCGGUUUGUCGCGUCUGCUGUGAAAACUCGGGGCUUAACUCCGGGCCUGCAGUGGGUACAGGCAGACUAGAGUGCGGUAGGGGUGACUGGAAUUCCUGGUGUAGCGGUGAAAUGCGCAGAUAUCAGGAGGAACACCGGUGGCGAAGGCGGGUCUCUGGGCCGUAACUGACGCUGAGGAGCGAAAGCGUGGGGAGCGAACAGG